ensembl:lncRNA
UAAUUGUUUUUAAAUUUAUUAUACUUUAAAUUAUCAUUUAUUUCUGUGAUGCAAAGCUGAAUUUUUAGGAUCAUUAUCACAUGAUCCUUUAGAAAUCAUUCUAAUAUGAUGAUUCAUUAUCAAAGUUGGAAACAGUUCAGCUGCUUAAUAUUUUUUCAGAACAUGUGAUACUUUUUUAGGAUACUUUGAUGAAUAAAAAGGAAAAAAAAAAAAAAGAAGCUAUGUUUUUAAAAUAUAAAUAUUUUGUAAUAACAAUAUACACUACUGGUCAGUAAUUAUUAUUAUUAUUUUUUUUUUAAAAAUAAAAUCAAUACUUUUAUUCAGCAAGGAUGUGUUAAAUUGUUAAAUUAAAUACUAUUAAAAAUAGUAAUGUUUCCAAACUUUCUUUUGACCUGUACUGUACUGUAUAUAUAUAUAUAUAUAUAUAUAUAUAUAUAUAUUUCAUUUUUUAUUUUUUUAAUAAUAUAAAAAAUGGCCAAAAAUAUAUUGGUAAAUAGUUUUAGCUAAAUUUUGGCCAUUUGUGGAAAAAAAAAAAAGAUAAAAAAAGAAUUUGAAUAGAAUUCAUAGUAAUGAAGAGAGAAAAAGGUGAAAACACAUUAAUCAGAGAAGAAUGGCGCGCGCGCGCUGCAGCAGUUGCCAGGGGAUGUCGAAGGGGAGGGGUUAUGAUUGGCUGAAGUGGGUCUGUUGCCUUGGCAACGGCAAAGGGGUUUGGUAGCGUUGCUGUGCGGCGUGAUCUGUGCGCAGCGCGGAUGGAGGAAACGGUUUGAGGCGGCAGAACGCUCCGACUACUGACGCGCUUCAGCGGAAAAACGGCUUGAAUCUGCCCGUUGGCUCCUCAUCAAGUGGCGGUCGAUGGCUAACUAGCAGCUGCGUGAGGAGGUGGGCGGAGAUGAGAACGAGGCCGGGUCAUUUCAGACGCUCUCGAGAAACCUCAACAACCCUCAGACACAAGAGCAGCUCCUUCAGCUGCCAUCGCUGAAUGACUGCGAGAAAUACCAGCAGACGAGAGCGAGAAACGCCGGCUGAUUCUCUGAGAGAGAGAUCAUUGGGUGGGAAUGAGGGAGAUUAGACAAGAAUAUGUAGGGAAAACUUUAAUCCAAAGCUUGUGCUCUUGAAAAAUGGUUGUAAAAAGGGAAAAAG